UUGCUAGGGAGCUCCGGGUGCGCAGCGCCAGCCGAGAGGAGAGGCGGGCAGCACUCACAGCCGGAGCACAGACAGCCUGGCCUCAGUUGAGAUGCUUUAGCAGAGACUACAGGAAUAACGAAAAAGAACCAGAGGGGCUGUCUGGGAGGUUUGCCUCUUAGGUUCCCAGCAGUCUGGACUUGCUGCCAUUGCUCUGUCUGCUCUCUGUCCCCCGGCAGGAGCCAUCUCUCUUUGUUAGUCCGUCUCUCAGUGCUGGCGCUUUACCCUCAGCUGUGAGUCUUGCUCUAUUCCUGCCAUUCAGCAGCUGCUUUCCCUUCCAGGACCCCACUUCUCUCUCCUGGGAUACGUCUUAUCAGGGAACCCGGGUUCGUUCUCCCCCUGGGAUUCCUCUAGCACCGAGGCACAUUACGCAAACCAGUCACAGAGGCAACAUCUGACUUGAGCUGUCUGGCUGAGAAGGGUCAGACAUUUGCAGUGUAGUUUGCAGGCAUUAGUGCAAGUCUCAAAUGAAGGCUUAAUUUCAAAAGUUCUCCUGCAGCUUCUUGUCAGAGAGAAUUAGCCUACGUGGCUAGAAUCCAGAUGUGCACAGCUAUCAGCUGCUUGAAAGCAUGGAAGUUCAAGAUGAGUGCAAUGCCAGUCAUUCCUCUGCCAUACUGAGAGUCCCUCCUGUCAGGUUACUAACAUGAAACCAACUUCACAGCAGUACUUAUGUUCAGAUUUGUUGCUGUCAAGAAAAAGGCAAGUUUUACCUCAAAUCUUUCAAAAACAGGAACUUUAAAACAACAACCAAACUUCCAGAGAAAUUUUCUUUAAAUGUUAAGUAUUUUACCCAGUUUUCUGUUUGGUGUUUUUUCAGAUGUGCUUCCUUGCUGUUUUUUAAAGCAUAAAGGAUACAAACCUGAAGAUAUUAAACUUCAAGGUAGAAAGGGCAGAUAAUUAGAAGCUUCUGAUCACUUGAGACAUUAAAAUGGACAUUGCUGUGCAAACACGA